CUACGGGAUGCACCAGUGGGGAAUAUUGCACAAUGGAGGAAACUCUGAUGCAGCGACGCCGCGUGGAGGAUGACACUUUUCGGAGCGUAAACUCCUUUUAUAUAGGAAGAAGGUGACGGUACUAUAUGAAUAAGCGCCGGCUAACUCCGUGCCAGCAGCCGCGGUAAUACGGAGGGCGCAAGCGUUACUCGGAAUCACUGGGCGUAAAGAGCGUGUAGGCGGAUUAAAAAGUCAGAAGUGAAAUCCUAUAGCUUAACUAUAGAACUGCUUCUGAAACUCUUAAUCUAGAAUAUGGGAGAGGUAGAUGGAAUUUCUGGUGUAGGGGUAAAAUCCGUAGAGAUCAGAAGGAAUACCGAUUGCGAAGGCGAUCUACUAGAACAUUAUUGACGCUGAGACGCGAAAGCGUGGGGAGCAAACAGGAUUAGAUACCCCGGUAGUC
rnacentral:rRNA from 1 species